UACGGAGGGUGCAAGCGUUAUCCGGAUUCACUGGGUUUAAAGGGUGCGUAGGCGGGUUGGUAAGUCCGUGGUGAAAUCUCCGAGCUUAACUCGGAAACUGCCGUGGAUACUAUCUGUCUUGAAUACCGUGGAGGUGAGCGGAAUAUGUCAUGUAGCGGUGAAAUGCUUAGAUAUGACAUAGAACACCAAUUGCGAAGGCAGCUCACUACACGAAUACUGACACUGAGGCACGAAAGCGUGGGGAUCAAACAGG
rnacentral:rRNA from 1 species